rnacentral:rRNA from 1 species
UACGGAGGAGGCAAGCGUUAUCCGGAAUUAUUGGGCGUAAAGCGUCCGCAGGUGGCACUUCAAGUCUGUCGUCAAAGACUGGGGCUUAACCCCGGAAAGGCGGUGGAAACUGAAGCGCUAGAGUGCGGUAGGGGUAGAGGGAAUUCCCGGUGUAGCGGUGAAAUGCGUAGAGAUCGGGAAGAACAUCGGUGGCGAAAGCGCUCUACUGGACCGCAACUGACACUCAGGGACGAAAGCUAGGGGAGCGGAUGGG